CCCGACGCUUCCGUCCGGUCCGUCGGCACGUCGGCCCUGCCUCCCGGACCACCCUGCGGGGCGCACCAGCGAUCUGGAGUGCGGGGCUCGGCCUCCCUGCGCUCCUGGCUGACGGUGUGACCUUGGGUCUUAACCAUGAACUUCUCUGGAGGAGGGAGGCAGGAAGCAGCGGGGUCCAGGGGUAGAAGGGCUCCCAGACCCCGAGAACAGGACCGAGACGUGCAGCUGUCCAAGGCUCUGUCCUAUGCCCUGCGCCAUGGGGCCUUGAAGCUGGGGCUUCCCAUGGGAGCUGAUGGCUUCGUGCCCCUGGGCACCCUCCUGCAGUUGCCCCAGUUCCGCGGCUUCUCUGCUGAAGAUGUGCAGCGCGUGGUGGACACCAAUAGGAAGCAGCGGUUCGCCCUGCAGCUGGGGGAUCCCAGCACUGGCCUUCUCAUCCGGGCCAACCAGGGCCAUUCCCUGCAGGUACCUAAGUUGGAGCUGAUGCCCCUGGAGACACCGCAGGCCCUGCCCCUGAUGCUAGUCCAUGGUACAUUCUGGAAGCACUGGCCAUCCAUCCUACUCAAAGGCCUGUCGUGCCAGGGAAGGACGCACAUUCACCUGGCCCCAGGACUGCCUGGAGACCCCGGUAUCAUCAGUGCACCCCUGCAUCCCCCAGCCCAGGACCCCAGUCUGCCCAGGUUGCUGACUGCACUCCAGGUGCCCAGGCCUCAGCUCCAGCUGUCUCUGCAGGCAUGCGGUCCCAUUGUGAAAUAGCUGUGUUCAUCGAUGGACCCCUGGCUCUGGCAGAUGGAAUACCCUUCUUCCGCUCUGCCAAUGGGGUGAUUCUGACUCCAGGGAAUACUGAUGGCUUCCUCCUUCCCAAGUACUUCAAGGAGGCCCUGCAGCUACGCCCUACCCGAAAGCCCCUUUCCUUGGCUGGUGAUGAAGAGACAGAGUGUCAGAGUAGCCCCAAGCACAGCUCCAGAGAAAGGAGAAGGAUCCAACAAUAAAAUAUUAAUUUAUAAAAAAGAAAUUUUAAAAAGUAACAAGAAAGAAACUCCAGUUUGAAACCA